rnacentral:rRNA from 1 species
AACGCUAGCUACAGGCUUAACACAUGCAAGUCGAGGGGAAACGACAUCGAAAGCUUGCUUUUGGUGGGCGUCGACCGGCGCACGGGUGAGUAACGCGUAUCCAACCUGCCCACCACUUGGGGAUAACCUUGCGAAAGUAAGACUAAUACCCAAUGAUAUCUCUAGAAGACAUCUGAAAGAGAUUAAAGAUUUAUCGGUGAUGGAUGGGGAUGCGUCUGAUUAGCUUGUUGGCGGGGUAACGGCCCACCAAGGCGACGAUCAGUAGGGGUUCUGAGAGGAAGGUCCCCCACAUUGGAACUGAGACACGGUCCAAACUCCUACGGGAGGCAGCAGUGAGGAAUAUUGGCCAAUGGGCGAGAGCCUGAACCAGCCAAGUAGCGUGCAGGAUGACGGCCCUAUGGGUUGUAAACUGCUUUUAUAAGGGAAUAAAGUGAGUCUCGUGAGACUUUUUGCAUGUACCUUAUGAAUAAGGACCGGCUAAUUCCGUGCCAGCAGCCGCGGUAAUACGGAAGGUCCGGGCGUUAUCCGGAUUUAUUGGGUUUAAAGGGAGCGUAGGCCGGAGAUUAAGCGUGUUGUGAAAUGUAGAUGCUCAACAUCUGAACUGCAGCGCGAACUGGUUUCCUUGAGUACGCACAAAGUGGGCGGAAUUCGUGGUGUAGCGGUGAAAUGCUUAGAUAUCACGAAGAACUCCGAUUG